AUUGAACGCUGGCGGCAGGCCUAACACAUGCAAGUCGAGCGAGCGGCGGACGGGUGAGUAAUGUAUGGGGACUGCCCGAUAGAGGGGGAUAACUACUGGAAACGGUGGCUAAUACCGCAUACUAUCGGAUAACCCAUAUGGGAUUAGCUAGUAGGUGGGGUAAAGGCUAACCUAGGCGACGAACUCUAGCUGGUAUGAGAGGAUGAGCAGCCACACUGGAACUGAGACACGGCCCAGACCCCUACGGAGGCAGCAGGUGGGAAUAUUGGACAAUGGCCGCAAGCCUGAUGCAGCCAUGCCGCGUGUGUGAAGAAGGCCUUAGGGUUGUAAAGUACUUUCAGCGGGGAGGCGUUACCCGCAGAAGAAGCACCGGCUAACUCCGGGCCAGCAGCCGCGGUAAUUC
rnacentral:rRNA from 1 species